CAUAAAGAUGGCUUUUCAGGGGCUUUUGCUGUGUGUCUUACUGAUCUCUAUGCAUGGAUCCUGUGAAGAGAUUGUACUGACCCAAAUUCCAGAUGAUACCACUGUGUCCCUAGGAGACACAGUCACCGUCACAUGUAAAGCCAGUACUGGUAAAAGCAACAACUUACACUGGUUCCAAAAGAAUUCAGGAGAACGGCCUAAGCUUCUUAUCUAUUUUGCAAACAACCGAGAAACAGGAGUCCCAGCCCGGGGGACUCGAUCUGGAUCUGGAGAAUAUUUCACUCUUAUAGACAGAGGAAUGAGAGAAGACGAUGAAGUAGAUUAUUACUGUCAGCUGACUGCUAGCGAUCCUCACAGUAAUACAGAGCCUUAUAAGAACUUUCUUCAAGUCAACAAAAAAGCACAAAGCUUCCAUUCUGCCGAAGAGACCACGCCUCCUUACUACGUCAUAUAUGCUUUUUUGCUGUUAGUGAAGACUCCAUUACAAGAUGAUGCUUACAGCUAG